rnacentral:snRNA from 1 species
GGAUUUUAAUGCAGUCUAGCUAUGGCAUCUGUUACCAGGUUGAUGCCAGGACUGACUUAUUGAUCUGGCAUCUUAGCCCAGAGUUCUCUUUCUCUGAGAGCUCCAUGUGUGUUCUUCCAAAAGUGUCAACUUAAUCAAAAAGAAUGACAUUUACAAACUGACAAAGUCUAUUCUUAGUCAAGAUAUACGGGGAGUUAUACUCCCUGGCUAGAUCUUUCCAACAAGCAUUGACAUCAUUUUGCAAGUAAAUGUAGGUUAGCCAAAUCUGUUUUACAAAGUAUCUCUCUCCACAUGAUAUUUU